AAUAGAUACCCUGGUAGUCCACGCCGUAAACGGUGGGCACUAGAUGUGGGGCUCUUUCCAUGAGUUCCGCGUCGCAGCUAACGCAUUAAGUGCCCCGCCUGGGGAGUACGGCCGCAAGGCUAAAACUCAAAGGAAUUGACGGGGGCCCGCACAAGCGGCGGAGCAUGCGGAUUAAUUCGAUGCAACGCGAAGAACCUUACCAAGGCUUGACAUAUACGGUCUAUCCCUAGAGAUAGGGAGUGCUUCGGCGCCGUAUACAGGUGGUGCAUGGUUGUCGUCAGCUCGUGUCGUGAGAUGUUGGGUUAAGUCCCGCAACGAGCGCAACCCUCGUUCUAUGUUGCCAGCACGUAAUGGUGGGGACUCAUAGGAGACUGCCGGGGUCAACUCGGAGGAAGGUGGGGAUGACGUCAAAUCAUCAUGCCCCUUAUGUCUUGGGCUUCACGCAUGCUACAAUGGCCGGUACAAAGGGCUGCAAUACCGUAAGGUGAGCGAAUCCCAAAAAGCCGGUCUCAGUUCGGA
rnacentral:rRNA from 1 species